UGGGGAAUAUUGGACAAUGGGCGAAAGCCUGAUCCAGCAAUGCCGCGUGUGUGAAGAAGGCCUUCGGGUUGUAAAGCACUUUAAGUUGGGAAGAAAAAGCUCUGGCUAAUAUCUAGAGCCUUGACGGUACCAACAGAAUAAGCACCGGCUAACUCUGUGCCAGCAGCCGCGGUAAUACAGAGGGUGCUAGCGUUAAUCGGAUUUACUGGGCGUAAAGCGUGCGUAGGCGGUUUGAUAAGUCGAUUGUGAAAGCCCCGGGCUUAACCUGGGAAUUGCAGUUGAUACUGUCAGACUAGAAAACGGUAGAGGGAGGCGGAACUCCAGGUGUAGCGGUGAAAUGCGUAGAUAUCUGGAAGAACACCGAUGGCGAAGGCAACCUCCUGGGCCUGUUUUGACGCUGAGGCACGAAAGCGUGGGUAGCAAACAGG
rnacentral:rRNA from 1 species